AUCCUUGCCCAGACUCAAUACAAAUUUGCUUGACAAUGAGAGAGAGCACACCUGUCAGCAUUCGUGCAAAUGGCAAGGCUGUCUACUAGCGUGCUCUCUACCAUUGUCAUAAAAUUUGCUUAAAGCAGUUGAAUAUUGUCU
rnacentral:pre_miRNA from 1 species